rnacentral:rRNA from 1 species
GACGAACGCUGGCGGCGUGCCUAAUACAUGCGAGUCGAACGCUGAAGGAGGAGCUUGCUUCUCUGGAUGAGUUGCGAACGGGUGAGUAACGCGUAGGUAACCUGCCUGGUAGCGGGGGAUAACUAUUGGAAACGAUAGCUAAUACCGCAUAAGAGUAGAUGUUGCAUGACAUUUGCUUAAAAGGUGCAAUUGCAUCACUACCAGAUGGACCUGCGUUGUAUUAGCUAGUUGGUGGGGUAACGGCUCACCAAGGCGACGAUACAUAGCCGACCUGAGAGGGUGAUCGGCCACACUGGGACUGAGACACGGCCCAGACUCCUACGGGAGGCAGCAGUAGGGAAUCUUCGGCAAGGGACGGAAGUCUGACCGAGCAACGCCGCGUGAGUGAAGAAGGUUGUCGGAUCGUAAAGCUCUGUUGUAAGAGAAGAACGAGUGUGAGAGUGGAAAGUUCACACUGUGACGGUAUCUUACCAGAAAGGGACGGCUAACUACGUG